rnacentral:rRNA from 1 species
UACGUAGGGAGCCAGCGUUGUCCGGAAUCAUUGGCGUAAAGCGCGCGUAGGCGGCCCGGUAAGUCCGCUCUGAAAGUCCAGGGCUCAACCCUGGAAAGCGGGUGGAUACUGCCGGGCUAGAGUCCGGAAGAGGCGAGUGGAAUCCUGGUGAGCGGUGAAAUGCGUAGAUAUCAGGGGAACACCUGUGGUGUAGAGCAGCUUACUGGACCAUGACUGACGCUGAGACACGAAAGCGUGGGUAGCAAACAGG